rnacentral:rRNA from 1 species
UACGGAGGGUGCAAGCAUUGAUCGGAAUUACUGGGUGUAAAGGGCGCGUAGGCGGCAAGAAAAGUCAGAUGUGAAAUUCCGGGGCUCAACCCCGGAGCUGCAUUUGAAACUUUCUAGCUAGAGGUUGGUAGGGGAAAACAGAAUUCCACGUGUAGCGGUGAAAUGCGUAGAUAUGUGGAAGAAUACCGGUGGUGAAGACGGUUUUCUGUACUAAACCUGACGCUGAGGCGCGAAAGCUAGGGGAGCAAACAGG